rnacentral:rRNA from 1 species
AGAGUUUGAUCCUGGCUCAGAUUGAACGCUGGCGGCGUGCUUAAUACAUGCAAGUCGAUCGGUAACAGGUGUAGCAAUACAUGCUGACGAGAGGCGGACGGGUGAGGAAUAUUUGGGAAUCUGCCCAUCAGCGGGGGACAACCCGGGGAAACCCGGGCUAAUACCGCAUACGCUCUACGGAGGAAAGCCGGGGACCGCAAGGCCUGGCACUGAUGGAUGAGCCCAAAUCGGAUUAGCUAGUUGGCGGGGUAACGGCCCACCAAGGCGACGAUCCGUAGCUGGUCUGAGAGGACGAUCAGCCACACCGGAACUGAGACACGGUCCGGACUCCUACGGGAGGCAGCAGUGGGGAAUAUUGGACAAUGGGGGAAACCCUGAUCCAGCGACGCCGCGUGGGUGAAGAAGGCCUGCGGGUUGUAAAGCCCUUUCGGUAGGGACGAAAGCUCUUGCUCUAACAAAGCAGGAGGUUGACUUAACCUACAUAAGAAGCACCGGCUAACUCUGUGCCAGCAGCCGCGGUAAUAAGGGCGA